CCCUUAGAUGUUCUGGGCCGCACGCGCGCUACACUGAUGCAUUCAACGAGUCUAAAACCUGGUCUGAGAGGGCUGGGUAAUCUUUUGAAAGUGCAUCGUGAUUGGGAUAGAUGAUUGCAAUUCUUCAUCUUCAACGAGGAAUGCCUAGUAAACGCAAGUCAUCAGCUUGCAUUGAUUACGUCCCUGCCCUUUGUACACACCGCCCGUCGCUCCUACCGAUUGAACGAUCCGAUGAAAACUGUGGAUUGAGAGUCUGAGUGGGUUCGCCUACCUCAACUUUCGAGAAGCGGUUUAAAUCUUAUCGUUUAGAGGAAGGAGAAGUCGUAAC
rnacentral:rRNA from 1 species